rnacentral:rRNA from 1 species
GACGGAGGAUGCAAGUGUUAUCCGGAAUCACUGGGCGUAAAGCGUCUGUAGGUGGUUUAAAAAGUCUAUUGUUAAAAAAUUGAAGCUUAACUUCAAAGAUGCAAUGGAAACUUUUAAACUUGAGUAUGGUAGGGGUAGAGGGAAUUUCCAGUGGAGCGGUGAAAUGCGUAGAUAUUGGAAAGACCACCAAUGGCGAAGGCACUCUACUGGGCCAUUACUGACACUGAGAGACGAAAGCUAGGGGGAGCAAAUGGG